UACAUAAGCUAUUUCCGAAAGGGACCAACAUGACGAAUGCGGAUCAUAACUGUAGCAACUUUUCAUGUCCUAAAAGUCUUUUUGUGCGACCGCCAUUUGCAAAAUCAUGAAAUCCUUAGAAUAAUUUACCGGGUCGGGUCGGGUCACUCGCUUGACUAUAUAAAUAUCAUGUAUAUCUCUCCAGACCUUUUGUGUUUUUUCACGAGAUGCAUGAGGAGUGUGAGUAGCAGCAAGAUCGUUCACAAGGCCUUAUCUCUCAUGCUUUUCAUCGCUCUAUUAAUUUCUGUUGAAUUGGCUCUAGUAUCGGAUGCCAGAACAAACAAUAUCCCAGCCAACGCAAGGGGAAGACGCGGCGACAGAGGGUUCAAAGGAUAUAAGAUAAGUGCUCCUUGUCAUAGUUCACCUAGCGCUCCCAAAGGUUGUAAACCACCAGGUCAUUGAGGCGGGCGAUGAAGGGUAAUAGAAGCAUAGAAUAUUUAGAAUCAGGCCUUCGUGACCGUUGGUAAAGGGAUAAUUUCGCAAGCUACAUACCAACGAUUAUUGGCCAGAAUCUGUGCUAGCCUUACAUAUAGGUCUUAAUGUCAGUCUAGAGCAUUUUUUUGUUUUGUUUUUGUUUUUUUUUGGUGAUAAUUAGAAGCCUGAGAAUAUAUGGCCUAUGUUUCCAUCAAUAAGUAAGCCUAUGUGUUAAGCAAGAAUUACUCGAUCCCCUUCCCACCCAGAAAUUGAUAUAUAUUGAUCAUAAUGUGCAUCUUUGCCCUUGGAUUGUGGAGGCAUGAGCUCCCAUGUCAACUUCUCUAGCUUUUACGAUCUGUAAAAUUUGACCUAAACUCUUAAUUUUCUUUAAUUAAUACUCAAUAUUAUUGUAUUGUUUAUUA